ACUAUUGAUAAUGGUGUACUCAGAGGCCUGGGAUUUUGACACUCCAUGAUGAGGAUAUUAUGUGGCUAUCCUUGAGUGAAUCACAAAGGCCUUCCCAGCUAUGGCAGACUUUGACCCAGCCACCCCCAUCUGAUAAAGCUCACAUUGAGAUUAUGAGAAGAGAAGAGGAAAUAAGGACAGAAGGUGGAGGAGGUGGCGAAAGAGAGGUUGAGGAACAGAAAAUGAAAGAGGAAGCGGAGGAGAGGUUACCGUGGGCACAGAGCAGCCUUCAUGAUCGUCAGGAAGCUAUAGAGAGUGGCCCAGUACCAUUCCCCAGCAGAUGAGAGAAUCAGACCUCGUUAGCCAAGCCAGCAUGAUGUUCAAGGAUGCCCUGGCUCUCCAGCAAUGACCUGGCCCUUGAGCAUGGCUGAUGUAUGGUCCUGGUAAGCACCAUCUCUCAUUCACCAACAGGGGAAGGAGGCCUUAGAGAAACCAUUCUCAUGCUGGAAGACUGGAUGAUUAAGUGAAGGAUGCCAUUUGCAAAUGACCUGACUUCUGGAUCUACAGGCACCCACUCCGUGAUACUUCCCUGCAUUGCCAUUAAGGUACCUUCCCUAGCCCCAGAGGCAAGAACUCUACUCAGAUGAGAGAACUCUUUCUCAUCGAUCCCGUGAUGAUUUUUUUUCUCAUUGUCAACUCUGCUUCACUGGCUUUGGAAUUGUGACCUAGGAAACAUAGCUCUGGGCAUGCCUGUGAGGACAUUUCAGCUCGGCUGUUCCUGGACUGGAUAUAAAGGAAGAAAACCAGCUGAAGACCAGCUUAUACCCCAACACUUGCUGACUAUGGACACAUUGUGACCAGCUGCCCCACAAUAUUGCCACCAUGCCUUCCCCGGCAUGAUGGACAGCAUUAGAAAACCCCGUGUCUCCAAAGCUGCUUUUGUUGGGUACUCUGUCAAAACAGUGAGACCAGGAGUUAAUAUAAAUCCUCGCCGGUGCCAAUUUUUUUUGGCCCAGUCUUAAACUGA